UUCUUUCAGACUCCGUCAAUGUUCGGACUUCUCCAGUAGUAGGGCUUCUACAGUAACCAGACUCCAUCCAAGUUUCUACAGUAGUCGAUCGCCUUUUGAACUUCAUCCGAGCUCCUACUACAAGCGAACUUCAUUCGAGCUUCUACUGUAAAUGGUCUCCAUUCGAGCUUCUCCAAUAUGCGGUUUCCAUCCGAACUUCCAUGGUAAUCGAUCUCCAUUCAAGCUUCUACAAUAAACGGCCUCCUUCCGGACUCCUACU
rnacentral:lncRNA from 1 species